rnacentral:snRNA from 1 species
AUUGCUUCUCAGUCUUUUAGCUAAGAUCAAGUAUAGCAUCUGUUCUUAUCAGUUUAAUAUCUGAUACAUCCUCUUUCUGAGGACAAUAUAUUAAUGGAUUUUUGGAACAGGGAGAUGGAAUAAGAGUUUGCUGCAUCCACUCCACACAUCGACCUGGUUUUGCAAUACCUCCAGGAAUUGUGUCUCCCUC